rnacentral:misc_RNA from 1 species
GGGGUUUAUGAAUGAUCUCGCAACAGUGACAAACGAUGGUUCGGAUCUAAAUCGGGUUAUUUCGACCCCUUUUGAAGUACAAAUUGGGCUUCCAUGUUGAAAAGCUUUGGACAGAUAAUAAUGGGCUGCACAUGACAUUUCUCGGUAGACUCUUGAAAUGGGUCCAGACUCAAGACCACAAAUUGGAGAUCCAUUUCAGAACAAAGUUUCGUCUUUUUAGUUUUUUGGUGUUUCAGAAACCCUAA